UCUCAAUUGCACACCAGAUUGAUGUUUAUUCAUUUGGGAUUGUCAUGUGGGAAUUGCUUACUGGUGACGAGCCUUACAAAGAUAUGCAUUGUGCUUCCAUAAUCGGAGGAAUAGUGAACAGCACACUGCGGCCACAAAUUCCGACAUGGUGUGACCCCGAAUGGAAAUCAUUGAUGGAAAGUAGUUGGGACUCUGAUCCAGCAGUUCGGCCCUCGUUUCCGGAAAUUGCACAGAAAUUGAGAAAUAUGGCUGCCGCUAUGAAUCUGAAAUGAUUCUUUUUACUAAGACGGGUUUUCGCUUUUGUGUGGGAGUAUAAUAAUAAUAAUAUAAUCCAUAUUAAGAGUUUUAUCUUCAUCCAGGAGCUCUAAAUAUAUAUAUUUAUUAUUUUCUUGAUUUCAUGGAUUACAAUAAUAUAUGCCUUCAGAAAUGAUAUUACUAUGGCGAAGUUACUCUCUUAACAUUAUGCGAAGACCAACAAAUUUGCAUUGCCAAAUUGCCAUUGGCUAUUAUUACAAGUCCAGGUGGACGUUCUCCCGUUUCUGGUAGGGCCGAUAUAUAUAUACAUAUCGAAAAAAGCAGUGAUAGGACAAGUGGCGGUGCCAUAUGCAGUUAAAUAAUGUCCACGCUUAAUUAUUCUAUAUUCUUGUACAUUUUUCCGAAGUUAUGUGUACUUGACUCUAUUUUCAUCUCGCACCCUAAACCUUCUCGAUUUUUGGGAUGUAGAAGGUAAUGUGUUGUGGUGGUCCAACGAGGGAGAGACUUUAGAUAAUAUGAUUCUGGUUUUAAUAAAACAUUAUAGGAAGUUUUUUCUUCUUCAAAAUUUGUCAUUUGGUAA